GUUUUGUCUACAGGUUGUGCUGCCUCUUGCUCCUGGAUUCCUUCUGUUUCUUGUCGCCACAACAGCUUGGGACCUAUGCUUUGGACUGACUACAAUGGAUGUUACAUCGCUUGUAAUGAUUGGAAAAUCUGUUUGUCCUUCGUGUCAGAAACAGCACGAGUGCUUGGAGUACAUCUGUAUGUUAUAACUAUACCAGGGCAUCACUUUACUGUCCGCAUACUACACUGUAGAUAUUAUAAUGGGUUCUAUAUUGUCUUGAGUCGCGCUGCGCCAGGAUUUACACUUUCACCUGGCUCCGCUUCGUGAAGACAUGGAAGCAUCGUGGGUUUUGCCCGGGGAUGAACCCGUGAGAGUGGAAGAGUUCUGGAGAACAUCUGCGCUGUGUGCCGAUGCACCUUAUGAGAGAAUAAGACCAGUAGGCAAGUUUUAAAGGCAAUUGCAAUGAAGCAUCAAGAAAGACAAGAGCAGGCCAGCCACCCUGAGACCGAUAAUUCAUGAUAAGAGUACAACUAUGGUUUUGAGAGAUUUGUGUAUUAUAUGGGGAUUGCCUUUUAAAAGUGUGCCAUUUCUACUUGUUUUUCAGAGAAGUCAUUUCUGUAACUAACAAAGUGGAUGGUGAGCAAAGGUGGUGGCCAAAUUUUGGACAGCACCUGGGUUUUGCAGAUGGCUAUUCUUUCCCCAUUAUGUUUGUUGCCUAAAGAUUCUUUGUAAGGAUAAAUCCAGAUACAACAAUGCACUGCAAAAUGUCCUAAGACAGGAGAAAUGAAGAAGAACUGUUCCAGCAUUGAAAGACUGAGUUUGUGUUAUACAUGCAAUGUUUUAAAUAAUUUGAUAUUUUGUAAUUAUUGUGUCUGUUUUAACUGAAUGCCAGUAGUACGGUAAGGUAAUGUUUGCAACUGGAAGCCAAAUACAGUUUGUAAAUCUUAAUUACAGUAACUCACUGGUAACAGUGUUGCCAGUAAAUUACUGUAAAAACCCUUUGAAAUGUCUAACAGUGUGCGUCGUGCGCUUUUACUUUCACAAAACUGUUAAAUGUACAUUGCUGCAGUCAACCAUUCUCUCUUCCUUUAUAAAUGUUGUGGCAGAUGACUAGUCAUCUGUCACAGCAGUUAUCUCCCGCUUUCACCUGAUCAAUGGUGCCAUUUAGAAAUGGACAUUUUCAAUUACUGCCACUUGGCUACUGAUCUGAGAGAGCUAAACACAGACUACUCCGAAUGAGUCUCUCUAAUUGAUCGAUUGCUUCUUCACUUUCAAUUUAAAAUCUACACUUCAGGCUUGUUGCUUUUAUUUUUACAGCUAGAAGAGCAAAGACCUGGCUGUAAAAUGUGUACGAGCUGGCUGCCUCUAUUUCAUCUGCCAUUUCUAAUUUACAGAAUCCAUUAUGGCAAUAGAUGGAAAUAGAAAAUUUGGUUAAUGGCUGCUGAAGACAGCGUAAAGACCUAAAGUGCUCAUGUUUGUUGUGACUGGCAGAUCGGAAGUGAUAAAUAGUUAUUAGUAAAGACA
ensembl:lncRNA